UUAAGCCAAAAUGAAGUUAUCCGUUUUUGGUCUUGUCUCUUUGGCAGCUUUCCUUUGCACUUUGCAAUCGACCACAGCGGAUAGCCCAGUCGAAAUUUAUUGCAAAAAUGUUGGAAAAAUUUCAAUUUUGUGUAGACAUUUUUUCCCCCCAGGAGAGAAAGAUAAUGCAACCACAGGAAGUGAAACUGCAGCUGGAAAUGCCACUGAGGAAGCUGCAGCUGCAACGCGAUCUCUACCGAUAGUUGGUAAUACUUUACCAAUUGGCAAUUUAAUUCCUAUACGUUGACAAACAAUAUUGCAAGCUUCAAAUAACGUAUAAUAUUCCAAAUAAUAUUAAUUAUGUGUUAAAUCCUAUUACACUUGUGCUCUGGCAUGUCGGCAUCUUAAAUAAACAUAUAAAUAUCCCUCAAGCAUUCUAA